AGAUGCAAGAGCAACCAAGGCGCGGCAUAGAGGCGGGAGCCCCACAUCUCUGCCCAAGCGACACCAACUCCGCCGACAUUCGAUCAAGUCGCUGGGGUAUGAGCCCGUCGCCGCUCGCCGCUGUCCUCUCCUGCUUCAGGUGUUGCAGAGAAGACAACACGCGGCAUCGACCAUUUCCUGGGGUACCUUGAGGGCAUAGAGCAAGUUUAUUUACAAAGUUGUAAUUUAAUAGUUGUAAUUUACUACUAUUUGAUUGUUCAACUAUAAGUUAAUGUAACCAGGAUGUUUGUU